rnacentral:lncRNA from 1 species
UUUUGCAGAUGCUUAUUGAACACUUUCUUGGAGUCAAGAGUGUGGUGCUCUUUGAGUGUAUUGUGUUAUUAACCCUCAUGCCAUUCCCAUGACACCUGUGCAUAGGAGGAAUCUGGGACCCAGAGAGGUGGGACGGGAUAGGCAGGGUCUGAUGAGCAGCUGUGGGUGGUCCUGGUGGGAGCUAAGGAGCAGGCAGCCUGAGGCCAGGGCCCAUUCCCAAUCACAUGUUGUACUGAGCCAGCCACCACGUUAGAUUUUAGAGUCUCCUGGAGCACGUGAAAACAACUGAAAAAGGGUAACCACACAUCAUUUCACUUGUGAUGUAGCUUGCCUGUCUCCACACCAUGCCCCUGAAGAAUAGUAUAUCACCUACAGCCCCUUCCCCAGUCAGGAAUGGAAGUGCAUGACACAUGUGCUCCUCUACCCCUUCCAUGCUCAUGGCAGACAUCAUUAAUCAAUUAUAGCACUCUUUCUGUAGAGCCAGAGACAGCAUCACACUCUUUCCCCUCCUGCAUUCCAGGCCACCACUACCAACUGAAAUCGUGUUAGUACCAUAAUGAAUGCUAUGUACCAUUCUCUACCCUAAGCGAUUGCAAACUGUAAAUGAAUUGUUGCUGAUUUCUGAGCCCCUCCUAGAUUUGGGGUAAAUUCAUUUCUUGUUUUCAGAACACAGGGGAUAGGGACACCCUGUGCAGUUCUUUCUCCAGGACAAGGAGACUCCCCACUGGGGGAUGGGGCGGGGUUUCUGCCUUAAUUUGGGCGCUCAUAGUUUCAAGGAGGAGCUCUUUCUGGCUUUGGCCAGCUAGAAGGAAAGGUGCCCUGUUUGUUAACUUUAAAAUCACUACGGGUGUAGUGUAUGGAGUGGGCUGUGCCAUGCUGGAGUUCAGAGCAAAGGUUCUUCAGGUUUUCUUGCGAAGGACCUUAACUUGUCAAUGGCAGAGCCACACCCCCGGGACAUACUUGGCAGAGGAAUGCCUCUUCAGGCACAUAAACAUUUUUGCAUACUCCAUGUUAGUCAAUAAACCGUUUCAUAAGGGUUCUUUGAGGACAUCUGACUUCAAAGGGAAAAAAUUCAUAAUUCAGACAGGCUCUCGGGGCUUCACCAUACAACGCCUUUCUUGUAUUUGGUUAGUUUUAUGGGCCUGGAGUGUUGACCAUGUAUUAAUUUUCUCUAUAAAAAUCAGAACCGCUCUGGGCAGACCCAGAAUUUAUAGUAUCUGUGGCAGUCUGGCAGAGAGUAGGGACCCUCAGCCAUGAGUCCUCGCCUCACUUGUAACGAGUACCCCCUAAGUGAUCCCAGGUGUCUGGGGAUGCUUUAACGCACCCAGAUCCCACCUUGCUCUUGGCGCCUCCUAAUUACACACCAUGAGCGGCGGCGGCAGAGGAGAACUGCUGGGAGGACCGAGGAGGAUCCGCCUCUCGUGUAGAAGAACAGACUGUAUUAAACAGUGAUUAUGGCCAUGCCAGGCACAGGAAGACCUGACCUCAUGGAAUCCUAACAACACAGGCGGUGGGCGAGAGAGAGCUUUGACAUUUACUCACUGAAUGCGCCCUGAUGCUUAAUGAGUGGCACGGGUCAGCAGCACCGUUGUGGAGCUGGGGCUCUCAGCUGGUGUGGGGGGGGGGUCAUGUCUCUGGCUAAGGAGCGUACCUAGCCUGCCUAAGCCAUGAGCCUGUUGGGGUGGCAUGAACAGUGACUGCUCUUCACCCCAAAUGCAGUGUUUCUCCUUAAGGAGGCACUCAGACAUUUAGGAAACGGGGGGAACGUAGCCACGGUGCUGUUCUGGGAUUUGGGGGCUCCCCCAUUCUGGGUGCAUCUCUUGCAAAUAUGUUAUGUGCUCCCUUUCACGGAUGAGCAAACUGAAGCUUUGAGAGUCUCAAAGAAUGUUCUUUACUAGACUGAAAUAAAAACUAGAAACAAAAAAA